GUCGCCGGACAUGUGGCGUUCGGGAGUGAGCGUGCCGGGCUCGGCGGCGGCGGCAAGUCCCCCUGACCGGGGCCUGUCCGUAGCGGGUGCGAGGCCCAUAGCCGCUGCCCCCGGCCCGGAUGCGAUCUCCUUGGAGUCGGGUUGCUUGGGAGUGCAGCCCCAAUCGGGUGGUAAACUCCACCUAAGGCUAAAUACCGCCGUGAGACCGAUAGCAAACAAGUACCGUGAGGGAAAGUUGCAAAGAACUUUGAAGAGAGAGUUCAAGAGUACGUGAAACUGCUCAGAGGUAAACGGGUGGGCCCUCGAAAUCCUGUGGCGGGAGGAUUCAGUCUGGCUCUGCGGACCCGCUUCGCCGGAAGUUUUCGCGGCAGGGCAUCCCUCGAGCAGGGGCCGUCCGGCGGCGGGACCUCCGCGGUUCCAGACGCAUUUGUCUCCCGUCCGAAGGACGCUGCAGCCGGUUCGGAAGCGUAAGCGCGACGGCCUGAGGGCCGGCGGAACGGCAGGUGGCCGGCGGCCCGCCUCGUUGCGGGUUGUCGGUUGUUAGCCCCGCCGGCAGUGGCCCGUCUCCGGACCGAGGUGUCUCGGGUUCCCCCCCUCGAGGGGGGUUCCCACCGUCUCCACCCCGGAGUCUAGCGGAAGCAGGACGCGGCAGGGGCUCCGUACAGAUCCACCGUCGCACUACCGAGCAGUGGGCGGAGGGCUGCGGGACCCCGUUGGUCGCGACGGAUCCGUCGGGGGCCGGAGGCUGGCAGCGAGUAGGUCGGUCACCCACCCGGCCCGUCUUGAAACACGGACCAAGGAGUCCAACAUGUGCGCGAGUCAAUGGGUCUUGAACAGGCCCAGGGGCGCAAUGAAAGCGAAGGGCACGCCCAGCGCGUGUCCGUGCGGGGAUCCGCUCCCCCCGGGGGGCGGCGCACCCGCGACCCGUCCCAUCCGGCUCGCCGGUCGGGCGGAGUCCGAGCGUACACGUUGGGACCCGAAAGAUGGUGAACU
rnacentral:rRNA from 1 species